UAAGUUGUAAAUUAUGUAUUUUCUAUUGUGUUUUAAAUCUUGUUAGAAUUGUGUCUUAGGAACAGGAUGAUAUAUUACUUUCUUUUGGUUGGGUAAAAUUGUUGUGAGGAUAUCCUUUUGCUACUGUAUUCUAUAGUGCUUUUUUAAAAGGGAAGUCACUUCAUAGGGGAAAUGACUGCAAUGGGUACUGAAGGGAAAAGGAAAGUUGUGAGAUGCACCCAACAGGAGUUAUUCUGAGAUACGUAGAUUUCACUUUCUCUCCUAAUACCAAAAGCAGUAAAAUUGUAGAAGAGAUUGUGAAAUAGAUUUUUUUUUUUUCCUCUAUAUAAUCUGAAGGGGGUGUAGGUAUGAUAUAAAUUGAUUGGGAUGAUUGUUUGGUCAACUCUGAUGACAAAGGGGGCUGAGGACUUUUUUUGAAAAGGAUGUUCAGUUUCUCUAGUUGCAUGAGCUUAUGCUCCAAAAAAGAAACACUAAAGGACUGAGUUGACAUUUCCUAAAUCUUCUGGGUAUUAAGAGGUAUUGCUUGGAAUUAUCUAUCAACUAUGAACCAAAUUUUGAAAUUACUUUAGCUGAAGUUUCCUUGGCUGACACAAGAGACCCUCAUAAGUUUAUGGCUAUUGUUUUAAUUCUGUGUUGCUAGAUCUUGGCAAAGCUGAACAAAAUGUACUUAUGAUUCAAAUCUGGGCUUGAAUCUACCAUUUGUCAUCAUAAUAGAUAAGCAUAUCUAUAGAGAGUUGCCACCUUCAGAAUAACCUUUUAUAAAAAAUGAGGUUCUGACCCAUGCUCUCGCUAAAAGAUAAAUCACUGAACACUGUUUCUCCUAAUCGCCUGGAUGAACAUCAGUUUUGAGGAAACAGCUAAAAGUAAGAUAAACAUGCGCUGGAUGCCACAUUGUGCUAGAUUUUAUAGUAUGCUGGGUGAGAUAUAAAGUUCUGCAGGAGUCUGUGGCUGCUGGUCACAUCCUUGGUCCUGUUAAGAACAGGAAAGCUGAAGCUGUGCACCACAGCUGUGUGUAGUUAGUUUGGCAGAUUCCCCUCCCCCAUCCCCCAGAUUUUUCUUUUUCUUUACCAUGUUAUUAUGUGCUGUUCUCAGCUUAGUGUGGUAAAUUAAGUAAUGUAAAUGAUCAAUUCCAAGUCAAUUCCAAGUCAACAAACAAUAAUUAAUAUAAUAGGCUUGUCUUACAUUGCUUCAUGCUCAAAUAAAAAACUUUCUCUCUCCUGCAGGAAAUAAUUAGUCUUACAUUUUUUUUCCCAUAUACUGUCACAUACCCAGGACUCUCCUGGUUAACCCCCUGCUCUUGAGGGAAAGCCCUACCUUAAUUGAAAAGUGGGUGUCAGUGGGACUAAGAACGAGGACAUCUGCUUCCAGUUACUUUGAAGUAAUAUCAGGCCAAUAAAAUCCCUAUCAUUUAAAGAGGAAUUUUAAUGCUACUUAUAUAUACAAAACUAGGUCAAUAGCAGAAGACUUUUAUUGCCGGACCAUCCAGAUGUUAGAUUCUUUAACCCAUACUGAUGUUGUUGCUGCAUCUUGAUCAGAUGUGGCUGCAUGUAUGUAUAAUAUCUUGGCAUCUGAAGAAGGAUGUAUGUCACCCAGGACUGCUUAUCACCUAUAUACUGCUCCUUGAGCUGAAUUCAUAGCCUUUAGUUCUAGGGGCCAGGAACCCAACUUUUUCCAAAGUCUCAUACUGCCUCCUGGUCACAACAUGCUGCCUGGUUCAAGGACAAGCAGUUACUCUGAAAGCAAAUUGUAGAAAUCCCUUCUCCUUCAAAUUUCAAUCCUUUGAUUUGUCACUCUUUGUGCUCAAAAUUGAAUUACUUCUGAAGAAUGUGUUGAAUACUGCCUAUACAUUAUGAAAUGAAGAGAGGGGUCAGAAGGCUGGGUUUGAAGGGGAAGGGAAAGUCAAGGAGAGAUUCUAUUUGACAUUUAUUCAACUGAAUAAAAGUUACUUGUUUUUGGCUUGGCUGAUGUGGAAAAAUGAUUAAGUGCAGGCAUGGCUUUUUGUUUCUAGGAAUACAAAGACUUAAUUUUACGCUUGUUACAAACUUUUGGCAGGAGUGUGCAAGACCUGAAAUAGCAGAAAGAGCAUGUAUGUUCUCAGAAACUAUAGCCUUCUGUUGUUUGACCUGUGAUGAAUUUUGGGAAGUUAAUGGAGCGAAUGAUAGAAAUAGGAGCGUAUGUUUAUGUAGCAGCUAUUGGGGUGGGGGGGACUAUCGGAGAGGGGGUUAUUUAGCAUUGUAGUUUUCUUUCUGUAGGGGCUGUUUUCCUGAGUACAGAUAGGCCUAAAUUCCCCCAAAAUAAGUUGGAAGAUGGAUCUUGUAUUCUCGUUUAGAAGCUGAUUUAUUAAUUUCAAAGUAAUAUGGCUUGAUUUAGGUUAGCAGUUUAACAGAGCCCAGUGUGUCACAGGUAUUGCAGGGAGAAGUGGUUUGGGGAAUCUCAUAAUGUCUGAAGGAUUAACUGUGUGGAGAUAAGUGUAGGAAAUGUUUUAAAAUUACUAAGCUACUGAAUUCAAGGUGGUAAUACAUUCAUAUAUCGCUAUCACCCUAAUUUUGGAUAUACUUCUGAGCCAUGACUGUUACAUUCUGUGGAUUUGCUAAGAAUAUGUUGAUAAAGGACAGGUUAGUACUAAGGAGUGUGUCCAACCUUUUACUACAAGUAAAACCACAAAAACAAAACUGAAACAAAAAAAAUUCUUCAUGGCAAAAGGGUCAUGGUAAGAGUAGGAGCACGAACAAACUUAAAUGGAAGACUUUUUUGACCUGUUUCAGAAUGUUUUUUUUUUUUUUUUUUUUUUUUUUCAUGUAAGGCAAUGUAAAAGAUGCAGAGCUCUGAAUUAGUGUGUGUGCGCAUUAAAAAAAAGUGGAGCUGACAGUGAAAAUGGUCUGAUGUUCUCAGAUGUUAGUCAGUGUCACACAGGUGUUAAUCCUUCCUGUGUGGGAAGUUUUGUUCGUGUUAAUGCAGAAGCUGCACUGAGGCAGAGUUCAUCUCAAGAUUGACUCCUAAUAGUUCUUCCUUUAGGUGAGGUAUUACAGAUUGCCAGUGCUUGGAAGAGUGUUUGUUCCAGGCUAUCUAGUAAAGAAAUACAAACAGAAAUGUGAUGGUUAAUAGUGUCCUUAAAGGAAACAAUGCAGUUCUCUACCAUAGUUUGCAGUGGUCAUCACUGUAGAGGCAGUAAGAUUUGAACUGUAAAUUGUGAGAGGUUUUGCCCUCACACAAAAGACAGUCUUACACUGUGACUGCAGGUGGCAGUACAAGAUAGCAUCAGCUCCAACACCAUAUAGUGAGUGGUGGAGAUGUGUACAAAGCCUUACUUAACGCAGUGCCUUUCACUUUGCAGUGUUGCAUGCGACUGCAUGUAGACCUAUAAGCUAUCCUGGUAUAAAAAUAGCUCUUGGCAUCUUGCAGAUCAAUGGCUUUACAAUUGUUGCUAAGACUCUAUGCUUUUUUGGUUUUGUUUCAGUAUGUCCUAUAAUUGUACUGGUGAAUCUCUUUAAGCAAGAGAUUGUCCCUUGCAAAGGUAACUGUUAGCAAGAUGAAUUUAUUCUUAUGAGAAGAGCUCCCAUAAACCAGGAGUAGACCACAGGCUACCAUCAAGAAGAUCUUGCUUAAUGUCUUUUUACCUUGUGUUAGCUGGUGUAUGUCCAGAAAGGAGUAGCUAGCAUCUAAGCAGGCAGCCUGUCCUGAGGUAUGGGAUGCUCCAUCACACAGUUCUAAAGAGCAGUAUGUAAAACUGUUGCUGUUUAAACAGUUUCAUUGCUUAGCAUUUGGUUAAGCCAUUAGAAGGUUUUUAUUGGCAUGCUAUAAUGUUAUAUAUAUUAUUCUCAAUAGGUAGCAGUCAGUUGCAUCACACCAGAGUAAGCUUGAACAAGAAAUUCUUCCCCCCUCCAAAACACAAAAGAUGCAAUAGUAAGGUGGUUCUUUCACUGCACUUAAAGUUUCAAUCUCUGCUAGGUAAGUACUUGAUUGUGAAGGGCAGAAAU